rnacentral:rRNA from 1 species
AUUGAACGCUGGCGGCAGGCCUAACACAUGCAAGUCGAGCGGAUGAAGGGAGCUUGCUCCUGGAUUCAGCGGCGGACGGGUGAGUAAUGCCUAGGAAUCUGCCUGGUAGUGGGGGAUAACGUCCGGAAACGGGCGCUAAUACCGCAUACGUCCUGAGGGAGAAAGUGGGGAUCUUCGGACCUCACGCUAUCAGAUGAGCCUAGGUCGGAUUAGCUAGUUGGUGGGGUAAAGGCCUACCAAGGCGACGAUCCGUAACUGGUCUGAGAGGAUGAUCAGUCACACUGGAACUGAGACACGGUCCAGACUCUACGGGAGGCAGCAGUGGGGAAUAUUGGACAAUGGGCGAAAGCCUGAUCCAGCCAUGCCGCGUGUGUGAAGAAGGUCUUCGGAUUGUAAAGCACUUUAAGUUGGGAGGAAGGGCAGUAAGUUAAUACCUUGCUGUUUUGACGUUACCAACAGAAUAAGCACCGGCUAACUUCGU